AUAGGAAGGUCAUCCUCCAGGCUGAAUGGUGGAGCAGUGUGGUGUGGUAAUCAUUAAAGACCAGGUGAUUCCAGAAAAGCUGAAAGAACUCUCCUAGUGAACAUAUUAAAACUUUCUUUCCAGUGCCUGGGAGGCAGAGCCAAGUGGACAUCUGAUUUCAAGGGCAGCCUGGUCUACAGAGCAAAUUCCAGAACAGCUAGGGCUACACAGAAAAAAAAAAAUCUAUAUCAAAAAAAAAACAAAAACAAAAACAAAAACCUAACAACUUGAGAGGCCCACAGCGGAAGCCAUUGCGAUGGGCAAGUACAUGAUGGAGAGAAAGAGAAACAAACGGUUUGAGCACUAUGAAGAGCGACAAAACUAGAAAGUGAGGGUGGAGAGAAAUAGCCUGGUGUGAGUAGCCACCUGAAGCCAUGGUGAAGCCAUAGCCAGUGCUGCCACAGAGGGCCACGUCUGGCUCUGUGGCCAUGCAGGGGUCUGUGUCGGUGUCUGUGACCCUGUAUUACCACCCAAGGUAAUGAAGACGUCCCUGGGCUGUGCAGAGCUGGCCCCGCUCCUCACUGGCUCAGGCACUCUGAAGAAUACUUCUUCACCAUUUUCUGGAGUGCAAGAAGGAGCCGCUCCUGCAGACCCACAGAUUGCGGGAUCUCCAUGACACAGGGCAACAGCAGGAUAUCGGAGAGGAGCCUCGGACGUUGUGGGACCCGCACAGAUGGUUCAGCUGCUAAGACUGUACCUGCAGAAGACCCAGGUUCAGUUCCCAGCACUCAGACGGCACCUCACAACAGCCUGUAACUCGAGUGCCAGGGGAUACAACACCCUCGUCUGGCCUCCAAGGACAUCUACACAUGUGUGGUGCACGCGAACUCACGUAGGUGAGCACACGUACACUUGGAUUUUAAAAUGUAUAAAUCUUCUUAAAGCUAUUUUUAAAAUAUAGCACAUUAUUAUUAUUAU